rnacentral:lncRNA from 1 species
AUGACCUCAUCAAGACGGAAGCCAAGGCACAAAAGGACGAUAAGAAAGCGGAGGAGACCUCGCAGGGGCUGCCGACGGGGCUGGAUUCUGGAUUUUUCUCUUUCCCUCGUCAACUUUUUUUUAACACCCCAACUUUUUCGCAAUCACCCCCAAAGGAGCUUGCUGACUACCCAGCCCCUGUCCCCGACACGGCCCCGCUCCCUGCCACCUGCUGCCUCCACCCCGUCCACCGCUGGAAUAUGGGGCAAUCGGGUCCCUAGACCUCAGCCAGAUCCAACCUCGGCCAGAUCCAACCCGGGUCCCAGCAGAGGCCUCAGGCUGUUGCGUGCAGGAACAAAUUCCAGGGACCUGCCCCCGCCAGCUCGGGGGGGUUGGGGGGGAGCAGCCCGUGCCCUCACUAUCGUGUCCCUCCUCUCCCCUCCAUGCAGACCCCAGCAGCCCCCUCCCCUCCCCGCUCCAGGCAGGAGGGUCCUCCUCAGAGAAGACACAACACUGGGCCCCCACCUUAAGGGACAGGAAGCUGCCACUCCUUCUACGUGGCACCAGUCUCGGCUCCCUUGCCACCCACUCUCUCGAGUCAGCCAGGACCCACGGGAACCUCUUCCCUCAGUCCCCUCCAGUCCCCUCUGCCUUCUGUGCAGGAGCAGCAAUCCCCAUGCCUGGGGUCCGCUGGGCCCUGGAGGGGUGUGGAGGCUGCUGGGGCUAGGCUACAGAACCCACCUCCACGCCCCCUCCGGAGCCGGGUGUCAGAUGCGCAGAUGGCAGCAGCAGUGCCAGACCCAGGCAAGCCUGGGAGGACAAGGGGACGCCAACUCCUCACCCCAGGGCCAAGAGGGGCUCAGGCUGACAGGGGGCACCCAUGGCGCUGCCGCCCCCAGUGAAGGAAGAACCCCUGCCCAACCACCUUCCACCUGCCCCUCGGGGCUCCCAGGCUUCCGACACAGGCCAGCCAGCGCCCCACCAAAGCAGGCUGAUGGGGACAUGAGGCAGCUCUCUGAACCCCGGCUCUCCUCUCUGCACUCCCCAGGGAGCAGCCCCCUCAUUUUCUUGGCACAGCCCCAGCACCUGCAAAGCAGGCAACUCCUACUUCCCACCCAGCUCCAGCCCCCUCUGCCCCUUGCCCUCUUCUCCCUGCCCUGUCCCGCCCCUGGCCUUGGGGGAGCUGCCCCCUCCUCCAAGAACUAA